AAAAUAAAAUUAAUUGUGGGCGUCAUUAUAUCAACUUUUUUGGAGAAAGGAAGGGAGGAAGGGGGGCUUAUUUUGUAUUUUUUCAUCUAUUGCUUAAGAAAACAAAAUAUAACAUAAAAAAAAUCCCCUCUCUUCCUUUUUCUCUCUUUCCGACGCUGCCUCCCCUCCCUCCACUCCCUUCCAUUUUCGGUCACAAUCCCGUCGCCGACCACCAAACUUCCUUUCUUCUUCCCAUUUCUCGUCGACACCGUCCUUUUCCCCCUCUCUCUCAUUGUUUUCUCACCGCAGCUAGGAGAAGAAGUCGCCUCCCACGCUGCCAUCGCCGGUUCGACCUCCUGUCAUCACCCUUUCGCCUGUCCGACGCCGGAAUCGAGCUCCCCACCGUCGAAAAUCCCAAGCCAGCUUCUCCACGCCAUUUUUCCUCCGCCGAUAGCCUUAGGAGAGUCUUACCGGAGCAGCUCCCUUCUCAUUGCAAUCUAUCAGUUUCCGACAAGGGCUAGGCGGUGAUUUUGGUGUACUUAAACUCCACGCAACUCAAUCUUCACUUAGGCAUCUCUAAAUUCGAAAUCCGAUACGGUUGGCGAUACCGGCUUUUGGAACCUGGUGUUUUUUAAGCUAGCGGAAUUUUAGAUUUUGACUCGAGUCGGAAAAUAAUGCAGUUUUGGUGACCCAAUUCUCGUUAAAUAAUUAUGAAAUAUUUGAAGUGUUUCUAGCAGGCUUUGAACCCAUUAUAGGGAAGGUGACAGCUAGAUUCUCUACAAACUUCUUUUUGCAUCCCGACUUUCUUUCCCCUUUGGACUUGUUGUAAUUAAAUCUUAACUUUUGUAUUUCAAAUUAUUUAAAAUUCUAGACUCUCUGCAGUAGUGUAUUUGAUACUUUACAUUUUAUCUUGGUCUGUUAAAGAUAAUAAAAUUUUUUUCUAGUAAUCUAGCUUAAGAAUUUAUUUGGC